CGAGCCAGCCCCCAACCCCCAACACACCCCGAGGACGCUCCCCCACCCCUCAUACCCGUACACAAUGGACACGCCCCUUCAAUCUGCUUCUGGACUCUCGAUUACUUCCAGGAUCAAACGUCAGGUCCCCAGGUUGACUUUUAAAGUAUAACCUGGCCCCAAUCUAUUUACACUUUUCUCUCACCAAGACUCUUCGCUCCAGUGACUGGCCGCCCAGCCAUUCUUCGAAGAAGACCCUCCAAUCUCCCACCUCUGGACAUUUUCCUGUCCCCCAUCUACGACUCUUCCCUCCUCCUCCUGACAACCUCCUGGCUUCCCGGGCUUCUUUUACGUCUUAGCUAAAGUCUCACCCUCUGCGAAGACUUUCUCGAUCCCGUUUUAGUGCCUUCCCUCUGAGAUUAUCCCCAAUUCAUCCUCUAUCUUGUUUGCACAUAGUUGUGGCUCCCGUUUGACCGGGAGUUCCUUUAGAGCAAGGACUGUAAUUUACCUCUCUUUGUAGCCCCAGAAUUUUGUAUCCCCUGAGACUUGCCUUUCUGUGUAUCCCCCGACGGGUGUCUGACACAUAGAUGUUCAAUAAAUGAUUGUGGAAGACGCCAUACUUGUGAAUAGACACACCACAUGCUUCCCUUCAUUGCUGCCAAAGUCAUCGAGUCAAGCCUUCCCACCUGAGACCUCUGUCCUGGACCAGAGGCCCCUGUUUCCAAGUCUUGCUGAUUCUCAAGUGUCCUCAGGAGGAGAGAAGAGUGCAAUCGCCAACCAUUUUAUUAGAGACGGUUCCUUUCUUGUUCCUGCCAUGGUUUAAAUCAACAUAAACACAGACUAACAAAACGGUGAGCAAGCACCCUGCUCUCCCCAGUGGCGUCAUCCUCAAAUAGAAACGGGGGCCACUAGUCUGUACAGAAGUAUCCCCGUGGGCUGCAUUUUGACAGUUUUUAAAUGGAGUGUUAUCUUUCUUUUAUUGUUUUUUUUUUAUUUGUUUUCUUAAGAAUUUCCCAAUGAUACCUUCACUCUUAGAAUCAAUACUAUGUAGUGGUUCCAAGGCAGAAGAAGAGCAGUAAGGGCUAGGCAAUGGAGGUUAAGUGACUUGCCCAGGGUCACACAGCUGGAAAGUGAUGUCAAAUUUGAACCCAAGCCUGACCCUCAAUUCACUGAGCCACCUAGCUUGCUACCCUGCCCCCAUUAUAUUUUUAUCCGGAUGUAGCCACACUUGAAGAGUGUUAUGGGAUGCCAAUAUCUGACACCUCUGAAGCCAAAGCACUACCCCCAUUCCUUGCUCCCAAAGGCAGACACAAUACUCAUAAAAUAUACAUCUAAGCACACACACACUUGCAUACACAGAUGUGUCAUCAUCCACAUGCUACACAUCAGCCAUUGAAUACAUGAGCAAAAGAUGCACAAUAAUAGUAAAGCAAUGCAAAUGGUAGUAAUCCUAAAGAAUAACAAGAUAUUUAUUCAGCCAUUCCACAAAUAAACAAAAAUGUAUAGUUAGCAAAUAUAUCAAUGUCAUUUGCAUUAUAGAACAAAGGAAAAAAAAACUGGAACAAGACAAUCACAAAGCGAAACUAUAUUCAAAAUAUGCAGCAAUUAGCCUGCAUCAACCAGGUAUGAUUCCCUAGAGGAGGACCAGGACACAUUCUCCCCCUCCAAGCCCUGCUUCCUCCUGCCCCUGAGGGGGGGUCAGGACAUAAGCUUCUUACCUCCCAACUAGCUUCUGGAAGUGCCCCAAGCCAACAAUAUUGCCAGUCCUGGACAGGCCACUGGACUUCCUUAACACACACCUCCUCCGGCUUCUCAAGGCCUGUCAAGACACAUUAACACCACCUACUGCAAGUGCAGGACCUCUAGGGAUAACCUUUAGACAUCUAAUCACUUGCUGUCCUCAUGAGACCUCUCCUGCUCCACAGACACUCUGCCUGAACUCAUGGUUUCCCCAGUGGUUAUCAAAAUUCCUCUGCCUUUUGCUUUCCCCAUUCCAAUAAUGACUUUCUUGCUGGGAAAGAACAAAUCCCUCUCCCUAAUGCCAGCUCUCUACUCCUUCAUUCUUAGUCACCUCCACCCCUCCUGUGCCACUACCAGAUCUACCUGAACCUUCCACACUACCCUCGAAAAUGCUUGCUUUGUGAUCAACAAAUUAACGAUUAUUAACAAUUAACAAGUGCUCUUAUCUUUAUCUUUCUGUUUUCGGGUGCUCACUCAGACUGGACUCCCUGUGGAUAACAUUGUGUGCUUGGCCCCCUUUCCAGUACUUGCAGCUUCUCUCAUACAUCCUCCCCAUCUCCCAAUCAAUGGUCAUGGUGAAUGAAUACAUAAAUCAGAAUACUCUGUGCUUCCCCGUUACAACUUGCUGGAUCUCCCUCUAUCACUGAUACUCACCAACCUUUACUCCUUUGAGCUUCAUCCUAUUGAAAUUUAUCACCCAAUUUAUCACCCAGUAGAUAUUAUUUACUUUUCUUGUCUCCUCAGUUCUCCCAUAAAACCCUUUCCCCUAACCAUUUUAGCUAAGAAAUUCCCACACAUACAUUUUUUUAAAAAGUAGUCAUUAUUCACAAGCUCCCUUUUCUCUUAUUCUCAUCUUAUGUCCCUCUGAAGUCUACCAUGUCCUCCUUGACUACAGUCUCUGAUGAAAGUGCCCCUUCUUGACAAGAUCAUUCCCCUUGGGUCCCAUUCUCUCCCAUCUUCUAAUACACAUUUCCCCAUUAUCAUCCCUAAUAUCUCUAAUCUGUUCCCAUCUAUAAUUCCUUCUGGGUUACCUAAAAACAUUCUUAUAUUUCCCCUAAUCUCAAAAAAAAAACCUGACUAGAUACUACUAUCCCACUGUGAUACCCCCCAAAAAAGUUCUGUUCCCUAUUCAUUAUUCUCUCUACACAAUCUCAUUUGAUAAUCUCAUUUACCAGUCCUUUGCCAUAACAAAAAGUAAUACUGAAAUUUUAUUUAUACAUAAUAGAUCCUUUAUCUCUGGCCUCUUUGGAGUAUAGGCCUAGUAGUAGUAUUGCUGAGUCAAAGGUUAUGUGUAUUAUAGUUCCACAUUGCUUUCCAGCAUAGUCGGGCCAAUUCAUAGCUCCACCAACAGGGUUCCUUAUCCAUGCAGACAUCUCCCAACAACUGACACUUUUCUUGAUUUGUGUCAUCUCUGCCAAUCUGAAGGGCACGAGGACUCUAGAGUUGUUUUAAUUGACAUUUUGAGUAUUUGGGAGCAUUUUUUCUUUUGACAACUACCUAAUCAUAUUCUUUGACCACUUACCACUUGAAGAAUGGCACUCAUUCUAUAUUUGUUUCAAUUCCUUAUCUAUCUUGGAUAUCGGACCUUCCCUUCCCAUUCUAAUUUCAUUAAUUUUGCUAAAAACUUUUCAAUUUUAUGUAAUCAAAAUUGUCUUUAUUUUUUUAUGAUGAUCUAUACCCUAUAUUUGGUCAAGAAUUCUCCUCUUAUCCAUAGUUAUGUUUGAACUUCUGCUAUAUGAUAUUUUUAUAUUUGAUCAUGUAUAGUCAUUUGAAAUUUGUGGUAUGCUAUGCAUUGUGUUGUCACCCAGAAUAAAAGAGAAGUGAGAAGGGCCUAAAAUAGAGUGGUGGCUAUGGGACCAAAAUUUGAUCCUAUGUCCUAUCCACCUCAUCAAUACAAGACAUCACAAUGUUUAAAGUACUGAAAAUAUUUGUGUUGAUAUCUGUAUUACACUUAAUUUGGAUCCUGGCUUCAGAGAGUUUGAUUAAAUCCAGAAUACAGGCCAUGGACAAACUUAAUCGUAUCUUUGUUCUUUCUUUUACCAUGAAACCCAUUAUGAGCCACCCACAAAAAGGAACGAGCCCCUGGAUGCUGGGAAAUUUAAAGAUUUUUCUUAGAAUUCACACAGCCAUGAAGAAUCACAAUGGUCUUCAGAGACACUAACUACAAAUAAAUUACUUGAUCUUCAUAUAGAACAAGGAAGAUGAAAAAUAGCAAAGCAGAAGAAAAAAGGUAAUGGAAGACAGAAUAGAAAGCAAAAUGAUAUUAAAGACAUCUUACAUUUGUCGAGAACAGCUGCCCGUGUUUAGAUAAAUCAGAGGGCUGGAGAGCACCACUGUGUUCUUGUUCAAUUACCUGGAAGGGCCAUCUAUUUGAAAGUUAGCUGGCUAUAAAGCUAAACUGAGUUUUUGUGCCCUAUCAAAAGUAUACAAGAUUGCAGAUAUAAUAAAGACACUUUUUGUAAUCUUUUAUACAAAUUUUACUCUCCUAAUUUUUUUUUUGCUCAGAAUCACAGAGCUACAUAGUGGCAGAGAGGGAACUAGAAUACUCAGAUCACUUGAUUCCUUGGUUCUCUUAGUUGACUUCUUUUUCAAUUAUUGAUACUUUUUUUAAAAAAAAUUACACCAUAACAUUAAUCUUUUAAAACUUUUGAGUUCCCUUCUUUCCUUCCUCUCUCCCUCCCUUCUCCUACCCUUGAGGAAACAAGCAAUAUGAUACAUUUGAUUCAUUGUUUUUGUUUUAAAAACCCAUAUCUUGUCUUACAAUUGAUACUAUGCAUUGGUUCUAAUGUAGAUGAGUGGUAAAGGCUAGGCAAUGGGGAAUUAAAAUGAUUUACCCAGUCACACAACUAGGAAGUGUCUAAGGUCAUAUUUGAACCCAGUAUCUUCUAUUUCUGGGCCUGGUGAGCUAUUUAGCUGUCCCCCAUUUGAUUCAUUGUUCAGGAUUUUUUUCUACACUAGAAUCAAGUAUUAAAUAGAAACUUAGCAAGUGUCUUGCUAUGUGUCAGUAACACUGCUCAGCACCUAGGUCACAAAAACAAAAAAAUGAAAAGUCUUUAUCCUAAAUGACCUUCUAUUCUAUGAUGGUGGUAUGAGGAAGUCACAUGGACAUAUAAAUAUAAAAUAUAUGCAAAGUAAACACAAGGGAAUAUUUGGAGGAGAUGGGAGAGCAGAGAAGCAGCAGGAGAAAGCAAGAAAUGCUUCAUAUAGGAGAUAGCACUUCAGCUGGGGGCUUGAAUGUAGCUAGGAACUUUAAGAAAGAGGAGGACCAUCAUUCACAAGUCAGAGAUGUAACAUGGCACAAACGAUGCCAGAUAGACCAGUUGGCAACAUAGCAUUAUGAAAUCAGUCUAGAAUCAAAGGUUAAAAAUGUAAAUAAAAAGAAUAAAAUUAAGUCAAACACUAUGUUUGCAUUCAGGAUUGACAAAAAGACCAAGAAAAGAGGAAGGGAACUCACCUCCUUUUAUUGGAGAGGUGAGAGACCAUGGAUAUGGAAAAUAUUGUCAGACAAGGAAUAAUGAACUGGAGGAAUUCCAUGGAGACUGGAACAACCUCCAGGAAGUGAUGCAGAGCAAGAGGAGCAGAACCAGAAGAACAUUGUACACAGAGACUGAUACACUGUGGUACAAUCGAACACAAUGGAUUUCUCCAUUAGGGUCAAUGCAAUGUCCCUGAACAAUCUGCAGGGAUCUAGGAGAAAAAAUACUAUCCACAAGCAGAGGACAAACUGUGGGAGUAAAAACACCGAGGAAAAACAACUGCUUGAUUACAGGGGUGGAAAUAUGACUGAGGAGAGACUCUGAAUGAACACUCUAAUGCAAAUACCCACAACACGGAAAUGGGUUCGAAUCAAGGACACAUGUGAUACCCAGUGGAAUCGCGCGUCGGCUAUGGGAUGAUGGGGGGAGAGGGGGUUGAGGAGAAAAGAAAAUGAUCUUUGUCUCCAAUGAAUAAUGCUCGGAAAUGACCAAAUAAAAUAAUGUUAAAAAAACAAAAAGGACUAAGUAAACAAAUUGCUAUAUAAACUUGAGUUGUCUUAAUCUGAGGCUGUUGGAAUAGAAAAUCUCCCAGGGCCCUUCUAACUCAAAAAUCUGAUUCCUUUACUCACUCUGAUUCUACAUAGGCUUUCAAAAUUAGCUCAAAAUAUAAUCUAAGAUGGCUGGAAGAAUGGACAAAAAUGAGUCAAAGAAUGGGAAAUUUCAAAGACCAAAAAAAUGCCAAAUUUCAUAGAUUUCCUUAAUAGCCUUCCCUAUGAAAGAUUGGUCAUUAACAGAGUAGUAAUGGGCUACAGGACAAAGACAGAAGGCCUGGAAGUCACCAAGACCUGGCUUUGGUUCUCUCUUCAGACACAUCCAGGAGUGUGACUAUGGGAAAGGGAAAGCAGUGUUUCCUAGCUCUAAGUUACAAAACAGUUGCUAAUGUUCAUUGGUAGAAGAGCUAUCACUAAUGAUAUCACAAAUCCAAGGAAAACAACUCCCCAGACCCAGUGUUCCUUAACAGCUCUCCCCACUAAAUACAAGACAAAAAAGAAAAUCUAUAAAUUGUGCAAAUAGUUACAUAAUCAUUGUGUAUGUAAAUACGUGUACAUGUAGAGAUAAAUACACACACACACACACACACACACACACACACACACACACACACGUUCUCCAUUAUGCCAGUAGCCAUUAUUAACAGAAUUAUAAGGUUACACUUUCUUGGCUUUGGUUUAACUGGUGAUGGAAACUUUAAAAAAAAUCCUUACCAUCUUUUUUACAAUCAAUACUCUGUAUAGGUUCUAAGGCAGAAGAGUGGUAAGGGCUCAGCAAUGGUGAUUAAAUGACUUGCUCAGGGUCACAUAACCUUAAAGUAUCUGAGGCUAGAUUUGAACCCAGGACCUUCUAUCUCUAUCCCUGGCCCUCAGUCCACUACCUAGUUGCCUCCUUAGUUGGAAACUUCUGUUGAAGAAAUGCAGAUCAACAUUAGUUUUCUGUAACACAGAUUAGGGAGCUACCUGGGUUGGUUAAGUACCUUGGAGGUUGCUAGCCAUGUAGGGCAGAGGUGUCAAAUACAUCAAAAUUCCUUAGAGGAAACCAGAUUAAAAAGUUAUUGGGAAGGGGUAGCUGGGUGGCUCAGUGGAUUGAGAGUCAGGCCUGGAGACGGGAGGUCCUGGGUUCAUAUUUGACCUCAUACACUUCCUAAUUGUGUGAUCCUGGGCAAGUCACUUAACCCCCAUUGCCAAGCCCUUACUGCUCUUUUGCCUUAGAACCAACACACAGUAUUGAUUCUAAGAUGGAAGGUAAAGGUUUAAAAAAAUAAUUGGCAAAUAAAAAUACAAAACACGUAUAAUGUUAAUUUCAGAUUUUCUAAGUCAAUAUGCAGCCAUUUCUAUUUGAAUUUGACAUUUCUAAUGCAAAGAAACAAAAGCUUUCGUAAUACAAAAAUAUUCACUAAUGAAUUGACCCAUUCAUAAAAUUAGACCUUAAGGAUCUCUAUGCAUUCUGAAUAUUAAUUUGUCCAUUCAACCCUUUUAAUAAAAUAGAUCCAAAAAAAUUGUGAAGCUCUCCAAAAGAGAAUCCUGUGAAAGUAUUACAAAGCCUUUCAAGCAAACUGAUUAAAUUAUCCAGUAUUUUAUGAUCUCUUAACCUAAAGGAUAUUGAGCAUACCAUGAAAUAAUAAACCUAUGCCCCAAACCUGAUUCAUUCUUUUGCCUGUUCUAACCAUUAAUGCAGAGUGACGAUCAUAACCUAAAUUAGAGAGAUAAUAAAAACUUAUUAUACUAUUUUUCAAGAUAAAGUUCCAAAAAAUGUUGUAACACCCCCUCCAAUUUCUUAUGAAAUUUUGGUUCUCAUUAUGAGCUUAUUCAAUUUAGUCUUUUUUUCUGGGACCAUUCUCUU